rnacentral:rRNA from 1 species
UACGGGGGGGGGCAAGCGUUUGUUCGGAAUUACUGGGCGUAAAGGGCUUGUAGGCGGCCAACUAAGUCAGACGUGAAAUCCCUCGGCUUAACCGGGGAACUGCGUCUGAUACUGGAUGGCUUGAGAUUGGGAGAGGGAUGCGGAAUUCCAGGUGUAGCGGUGAAAUGCGUAGAUAUCUGGAGGAACACCGGUGGCGAAGGCGGCAUCCUGGACCAACACUGACGCUGAGGAGCGAAAGCCAGGGGAGCAAACGG